rnacentral:rRNA from 1 species
AACGAACGCUGGCGGCAGGCUUAACACAUGCAAGUCGAGCGCCCCGCAAGGGGAGCGGCAGACGGGUGAGUAACGCGUGGGAAUCUACCCAUCUCUACGGAAUAACGCAUGGAAACGUGUGCUAAUACCGUAUACGUCCUUCGGGAGAAAGAUUUAUCGGAGAUGGAUGAGCCCGCGUUGGAUUAGCUAGUUGGUGGGGUAAAGGCCUACCAAGGCGACGAUCCAUAGCUGGUCUGAGAGGAUGAUCAGCCACACUGGGACUGAGACACGACCCAGACUCCUACGGGAGGAAGCAGUGGGGAAUAUUGGACAAUGGGCGCAAGCCUGAUCCAGCCAUGCCGCGUGAGUGAUGAAGGCCCUAGGGUUGUAAAGCUCUUUCACCGGUGAAGAUAAUGACGGUAACCGGAGAAGGAGCCCCGGCUAACUUCGUGCCAGCCGCCGCCGUAAAAC